CUCUGCCUCCUUUUUCCUCUUGCCAGUUGGAGCCAAAUCAUUCAGAUUUCCAGAUUGUGAGGAAUCCUUCAGCCCCCGUGGUAUAGCCACUGACACACUAUCCAGCUGCCACAGUUGUGGGUGUUGAACCCUACCCUUACCCUUAGGCCUUCGGUGGAACCACGUGGAUCUCCCCGGGGCCUCCAGGAGGAGAAACGUGCUCUGUCUCCUUGGCCAGGAAAGGUGAACUCCUAGUAGCAGGCUGUGAGCUGCUUGUCUCACUACGUAGCUAGGAAAUAACAGCAUGAAAGUGCCUCAGAAAGGAACUACCAGUGGCUGUACAGUUACUACACAUCGUUAGUAAUAACGGCACUCCCCUCCCAAGACGACAGCAGAAAGGGAUUCAGCAGCAGAAGGCACAGCUCUUUUGCUUCUGGGUGCCAGCAAACCCUAGGCCCCCCAUGUUGGCUGUUCCAGAAACACAGGAGC
rnacentral:lncRNA from 1 species